rnacentral:rRNA from 1 species
AUUGAACGCUGGCGGCAGGCCUAACACAUGCAAGUCGAACGAGUGGCGGACGGGUGAGUAAUGUCUGGGAAACUGCCUGAUGGAGGGGGAUAACUACUGGAAACGGUCGCUAAUACCGCAUACCAUCGGAUGUGCCCAGAUGGGAUUAGCUAGUCGGUGGGGUAAAGGCUCACCUAGGCGACGAUCCCUAGCUGGUCUGAGAGGAUGACCAGACACACUGGAACGGAGAAAGGGCCCAGACUCCUACGGGAGGAAGAAGUGGGGAAUAUUGCACAAUGGGCGCAAGCCUGAUGAAGACAUGCCGCGUGUAUGAAGAAGGCCUUGGGGUUGUAAAGUACUUUCAGCGGGGAGGCGGUACCGGCAGAAGAAGCACCGGCUAACUCCGUGCCAGCAGCCGCGGUAAUUC